CUCUCAACCCAACCAGCAUAUGGCCGGCCACCUAGAGUCAAUAAAUAUAGCAACUUCUGACCAACCCAUAUCCAAUUGCAGGCUUAAAAUACCAACUUCUGAUUAGGCACCAGCCUUUUCCAGUUUAAGUCCCACCCAUUCCGAGUAUGGAUACAGAUACAGAUAAUUUAGUUGGUUGAACAGAUACAGAUACAGAUAAUGGUGUACUCGCUCAUCCCUGGUAAAAUUGUGUAUGCAUAGCUUUAUAAACCUGAAAAAAAGAUGCCAUAGCAUAUGAUUCACAUAAUUUUCAUACUCAUCAAACCAUUCACUGAGACCUCUAAUCCUGUGUGGAAGAUACUGCAUCAGUUUCUACACUCAUUUGUUCAGGUUUUUGCCUGUAUUUCUCACCUGUCUGUAUGCUCAGUGGUUACAGUUACAGGCAACAUCAGUCAGGCAGGUGCUGACAGUGUAAGACACUUGCCACAAUCUCCAACAUUGCUGGUAUGCAUUUGGGACCAUAGUUGUAUUUUUAGUUUGAAGGGAAAUUGAAAACAAUGCUUAAGUUAAUGCUAAGUUAGAUUUUACCUCAUGGUUCAACUUUAAGUUACUGUCCUGUAGUUUGUGCGUGCACAGUUCCUAAUAAGUGGUUACAAAAUGAGCUGAUUGAUUAUACGUGAUUGUAUGUGAUCAGACAGCUUGUGUUGCUUGACCUACUGGACUUAGUUCUACUGCCUCCCCAUAUUUCAGUAAUGAAGUUGGUCAUUAUAAUGUCAAAACUGAUAGAAAUGAUGGUCAAAACUACAAACAUUAUUGUAAAAGUGAUGCGUUUUCAUUAAGUGGAAAAGUGGAGUGGAAGCACCCACACAUUAGCCAGAUUGACCUGCCAUUUCAUUUAACUUCAUAAUCCAGUCUGACACUGUUUUUAGGUUAGCUGAUUUCUGUUUGGUAAUGGGAAAUUAUUACACUCUAACCAAUCACCAGUGACUGACAUACUGAUGUCCCAUCUCUGUCUCUUCAGUCAACGCAGAAAUUUUAGCAAGAUUUGACGUUUUUUCACAUCAAUCAAAAAAUGUGUUGUUUAAAGAAUUGUUGUUUCUGUAAACCGACUUUGACCAUCUCAUGAUGAUUUUUGUUUAGAAGGGUUCUUGCCCUGGCACAGGAAGAUGAUUUGUAACCCUACCUGCAGAGCUGUGGUUGGCUCAGUUAUUUGUCAAACUGGGGAUGCACCUGUCAAUCAGCAAAACACCAGACAAAAGAUUGGUGGAUGUUGAUUUAGAGGAGACUAUAAAGAAGCUGAAGCAUAUUAACAACAAAUAACAGUUGUGGUGAGGUUGAGUUCAGUUCUUCAGUAUGCUGAAAGUCCUCUCUGAUGAUGCCUGACCAAUCAGUGUCAACAGUCAGCGUACAUGGCCUCUCGCUCAUGACUUGCACUCAGACAGCUGCAGAGGAAGGACCGCAACAGCCGUGAGCGGACUUUAACUGUUUUGUUUCCCCAUUUUCUGACAUCUUGAAGUUAUGUGUGUAACCCAAAACAA